UACGUAGGGGGCAAGCGUUGUCCGGAUUUAUUGGGCGUAAAGAGCGUGUAGGCGGCCAUGCAGGUCCGUUGUGAAAACUCGAGGCUCAACCUCGAGACGCCGGUGGAAACCGUGUGGCUAGAGUCCGGAAGAGGAGAGUGGAAUUCCUGGUGUAGCGGUGAAAUGCGCAGAUAUCAGGAAGAACACCCGUGACGAAGGCGGCUCUCUGGGACGGUACUGACGCUGAGACGCGAAAGCGUGGGGAGCGAACAGG
rnacentral:rRNA from 1 species